UACGUAGGGUGCAAGCGUUAUCCGGAAUUAUUGGGCGUAAAGAGCUCGUAGGCGGUUUGUCGCGUCUGCUGUGAAAACUGGAGGCUCAACCUCCAGCCUGCAGUGGGUACGGGCAAACUAGAGUGCGGUAGGGGAGAUUGGAAUUCCUGGUGUAGCGGUGGAAUGCGCAGAUAUCAGGAGGAACACCGAUGGCGAAGGCAGAUCUCUGGGCCGACACUGACGUGAGGCGCGAAAGCGUGGGGAGCAAACAGG
rnacentral:rRNA from 1 species